GUGGGGAAUAUUGGACAAUGGGGGGAACCCUGAUCCAGCCAUGCCGCGUGUGUGAAGAAGGCCUUUUGGUUGUAAAGCACUUUAAGCGAGGAGGAGGCUACCGAGAUUAAUACUCUUGGAUAGUGGACGUUACUCGCAGAAUAAGCACCGGCUAACUUCGUGCCAGCAGCCGCGGUAAUACAGAGGGUGCAAGCGUUAAUCGGAUUUACUGGGCGUAAAGCGCGCGUAGGUGGCUAAUUAAGUCAAAUGUGAAAUCCCCGGGCUUAACUUGGGAAUUGCAUUCGAUACUGGUUAGCUAGAGUAUGGGAGAGGAUGGUAGAAUUCCAGGUGUAGCGGUGAAAUGCGUAGAGAUCUGGAGGAAUACCGAUGGCGAAGGCAGCCAUCUGGCCUAAUACUGACACUGAGGUGCGAAAGCAUGGGGAGCAAACAGGAUUAGAUACCCUAGUAGUCC
rnacentral:rRNA from 1 species